rnacentral:lncRNA from 1 species
GUCUUUUCACCAAUAGAAACGGGUGUGGCAUAAAUAAUUUAUGGUGAUUCUUUCAUAGUAGCAUGCAAGAAAGCUUUUGCACCUAUAAAUAUGGAUUUAAUUGAAUUGGACUUAUGACUCUCUACUUGCUUAACUACACUGUUAGUUAUAUUUUUAGAAAAAAUAAGAGUUCGGGAAAUCCAAUCUAUUUGAGGGUUAUAUUUUUCUAACCACGAUAAACCUAAAAUGACUAGAUUAGAGGAAGAUCUAAUGAUAUUAAAUACUACAAAACUAUUAUGACCAUUG